GAUCACAGCCUGAGCGGUGACGUCUUCCCUUGCACGCCCCUUCAGUUGUUGGCGCAAGAGCUUAAAGCCUUGGCCGGACCGGUUGAGUUUCCUGUGUUGCAUACCUACGUGACGGAAUUUCGACGCGCAACGAACGUCGUUCUCCUUGUGUCGCCCCUCUGCGGGCGGGGCACGGGGUGAACCUCGAAGGCGGGUUCGCGUCCCGGGUAGCUUGCCGUGCGCGGCUGUCCCGGUCCGCGAACCGCUGCUUGGGCUCUCGGAUGCGGAAUACUCGGAGGGAAGGAGAUCGUCGGUCUCCGUUUGCCCGAAAUCGGCGUUAAUCGCUCGCAUCGAUCGACUGCCGUCGUCGCCUCGAGACCUUGUGGCCUUCGGGCGCAGCGUUCUCGUGCGGCGCCGGCGUCCGUGAGGAAUGCUACCUGGUUGAU
rnacentral:misc_RNA from 1 species